UACAGAGGUCCCGAGCGUUGUUCGGAUUCACUGGGCGUAAAGGGUGCGUAGGUGGCAUAGAAAGUUUGAUGUGAAAGCUCAGGGCCUAACCCUGAAAUGGCAUUGAAUACUGCUGUGCUGGAGGUUUGGAGGGGGGACUGGAAUUCUUGGUGUAGCAGUGAAAUGCGUAGAUAUCAAGAGGAACACCAGUGGCGAAGGCGAGUCCCUGGACAACACCUGACACUGAGGCACGAAAGCUAGGGGAGCAAACAGG
rnacentral:rRNA from 1 species